rnacentral:rRNA from 1 species
AGAGUUUGAUCAUGGCUCAGAUUGAACGCUGGCGGCAUGCUUUACACAUGCAAGUCGAGCGGCAGGCGCGGGGGCAACCCUGGCGGCGAGCGGCGAACGGGUGAGUAAUGCAUCGGAACGUACCCUGGAGUGGGGGAUAACGCCGCGAAAGCGGCGCUAAUACCGCAUAUGCUCUGAGGAGGAAAGUGGGGGACCGCAAGGCCUCACGCUCUGGGAGCGGCCGGUGUCCGAUUAGCUAGUUGGUGGGGUAAAGGCUUACCAAGGCGACGAUCGGUAGCUGGUCUGAGAGGAUGAUCAGCCACACUGGGACUGAGACACGGCCCAGACUCCUACGGGAGGCAGCAGUGGGGAAUUUUGGACAAUGGGGGCAACCCUGAUCCAGCCAUGCCGCGUGAGUGAAGAAGGCCUUCGGGUUGUAAAGCUCUUUUGGUCGGGAAGAAAGCGCCUUGCCUAAUACGCGAGGUGGUUGACGGUACCGGCAGAAUAAGCACCGGCUAACUACGUG